rnacentral:rRNA from 1 species
UACAGAGGUCUCAAGCGUUGUUCGGAUUCAUUGGGCGUAAAGGGUGCGUAGGCGGUGAGGUAAGUUGGAUGUGAAAUCCCGGAGCUUAACUCCGGAACUGCAUUCAAUACUGCCUUGCUAGAGUGCUGGAGAGGAGAUUGGAAUUCACGGUGUAGCAGUGAAAUGCGUAGAUAUCGUGAGGAAGACCAGUGGCGAAGGCGAAUCUCUGGACAGUGACUGACGCUGAGGCACGAAGGCUAGGGGAGCAAACGGG